CCAUUUCUUUAUCAACUAAUUGUAUGUAGUCAUUAUCUUCUAAUAUAGAAUUAUUUAUUUUCCAGUACCCCCUUCCCUUUUCUGAUGCACCAGUUCUAAAUUUCAUGAAAACACUUUGAUGAUCCGUAGAAUCAAUAAUUGCAGGUUUAAUUUUGCAACAUUCUACUAGUGGUAUGAAGUCUGAACCUAUCAGAAUCAUAUCAAUCCUACUUGCCUGUGAUUUAUCUUUUCUUCGCCAAGUAUAUUGUUGUUUAUUUUUAUUUAAAUAUAUCCAAAUGUCAGUUAAGUUAUUUAUUUUUAUUAAAGAUUUUAAACUA